UGUCCCAAUGAUUAAAUAUGACAUUGUCUACCUGAUCUUCUCAAUGGGAUCUGAAGACAAGUCCUGCAAUUAUGAUGGGACA
rnacentral:snoRNA from 11 species